GCCGCCAUAGCUCAGGGGCUAGAGCACUGGUCUCGUAAACCAGGGGUUGGGAGUUCAAACCUCACUGGCGGCU